GCCUGGCUGGCUCAGCCGGAAGAGCAUGUGACUCUUGAUCUCAGAGUCAUGAGUUCAAGCCUCAUGCUGGGUG
rnacentral:tRNA from 1 species